GGACGAACGCUGGCGGCGUGCCUAAUACAUGCAAGUUGAGCGAUGAAGAUUGGUGCUUGCACCAAUUUGAAGAGCAGCGAACGGGUGAGUAACGCGUGGGGAAUCUGCCUUUGAGCGGGGGACAACAUUUGGAAACGAAUGCUAAUACCGCAUAACAACUUUAAACAUAAGUUUUAAGUUUGAAAGAUGCAAUUGCAUCACUCAAAGAUGAUCCCGCGUUGUAUUAGCUAGUUGGUGAGGUAAAGGCUCACCAAGGCGAUGAUACAUAGCCGACCUGAGAGGGUGAUCGGCCACAUUGGGACUGAGACACGGCCCAAACUCCUACGGGAGGCAGCAGUAGGGAAUCUUCGGCAAUGGACGAAAGUCUGACCGAGCAACGCCGCGUGAGUGAAGAAGGUUUUCGGAUCGUAAAACUCUGUUGGUAGAGAAGAACGUUGGUGAGAGUGGAAAGCUCAUCAAGUGACGGUAACUACCCAGAAAGGGACGGCUAACUACGUGCCAGCAGCCGCGGUAAUACGUAGGUCCCGAGCGUUGUCCGGAUUUAUUGGGCGUAAAGCGAGCGCAGGUGGUUUAUUAAGUCUGGUGUAAAAGGCAGUGGCUCAACCAUUGUAUGCAUUGGAAACUGGUAGA
rnacentral:rRNA from 2 species